rfam:Oryza barthii chromosome 11, whole genome shotgun sequence.
UUUAAGUAUGACGCCGUUGACUUUUUGUCCAACGUUUGACCAUCCGUUUUAUUCAAAAAAUUUAUGUAAUUAUCAUUUAUUUUACUGUGACUUGAUUCGUUAUCAAAUAUUCUUUAAGCAUGACAUAAAUAUUUUCAUAUUUGCAUAAAAAAUUUGAAUAAAACAAAUGGUCAAAUGUUGGUCAAAAAAUCAACGGCGUCAUACAUU